rnacentral:lncRNA from 1 species
CGACUUGUUUAAUGUCACCAGCUUGGAAAGCUAUUCAUUCACACGUCAGUAAAACCAUUACCUCGCAUCAACCUUUCACGAUUUCACGUACCUUGAAGAAGCUGCAGCUGUUUCAGGCUGUCCGAUAGCUCAGCUAAAACGCGUAGUUAGUAAAUCGGCUUUCACUUUCUUUAACAAAAACAGUAAAAACAAACUAACCCUUCUUGUGGUCUGAUGACGAUGUUGAGGAUACUGAGUCAGGGGACGGAUGUUCCAUUCCCGUUUCUUUCUGUCUCUUGCAACUAAACCGAUUGUUUUGUCAAUCAAUGCUGCAAAUUGGAAGAAGCCAAGUUAUGUCGGUUCAUCACUUAUGGUUUCCAAACACAAUGAUGUCAGGUUGUCCUAUCCCCAAAAUUGUACACUACCCGUAUCAGUCUAUUUACCCUAGUUACAGAGCUCUAACGAACACUCACUAAUAUUCAUAGGAAAAAAAAUCCAAAAAAAAUCAUUCGAGUGAUACUUAUUCGUGGCUCAUUCUCAUUUUUGUUCGUUACUAUGACGGUCAGAUCUUCAUAAAAAAGUCCUCACGAUGUUUUGAGAGCCCGCAUAUUUGGCACUAUGGCGUAAACAAGCAUCGCUACAACUUUGACCAUAAAAUCAUAACUGUCGGAAGGAAAAAAAUUUAUCGAAAGAACGGUUGGACUGGAUGGGAUUCAGUGGAUUCCUUUUGACCAUCGUUUCCAUGAUGCAGCGCAUAUAGUUUCAAGAAUAAAAGGCUACAUUCAGCAGAGUUGUUGAUGUGCACUUGAGUUUUUAGUAAAUAAAGUUCCCUAGUAAUAAAAUAAUCGUGGAUUCGGCAAGAUCACCUUUAUUUGCUAACUUUGUGUCAUUGUUUACCGGUGAGUUGACAGUAUGACAAAUUGGGGACGAGAUUCCGGCAUCUCUCCUUAUUAACAGCAUAGCCCUUAAGUAUGCACAGUCGACGAUACUUGCGGCGGAUCAGUGAAUCUCUGGAGUACGUAAAUCGUCGAUUGUACACAGUACAGUUGAUGUAUGGCCAAAAGUGAAUGCGGGCAGUGAAAUGAUAACUGUGAAAAGUUGCUUUUUCCAUUGUAAAAUGACGAUUCAUUAUUAGCACUCAAUUUGAAGGGUGUCUUACAACAUUAGACUUUAUUAAAAAGUUUGCUGCAAAACGUUCCGUUUAAAGCAAUAUGUUUGUCCUUUCUUCAACGAUCCAUCUAACCCUCUUAGUUGUUAAAUCGUAACAAAUGUUCAUAAAAUUUGAGCUAUGAUUUUAUGACAUUUUAAAUGCUUUUACGUGUUUCUGUGUUUCUAGCUAUCAAUUGUUUAAAGAAAAGUCGGACAGAGAGGUUUCAGGUAGACAAUCCUUCAUCGAGGGAAUGACAGUUGAUUUCGCCUGUCACUCAGAAAUGAAAACCGUAUCAGAAAUACCUUUCUAUGGUAAAAUUAAGUACUAUGACCGCUUUGUAUAUUACGGACAAUAAAAUAUGUGUUUAAACGGUUAAUAAGGAGGUUCAUUACCAGUUUUAGUUUCAAUUCAUAUCAUCCAUUUCUGUAUAUCAAAUUCGCAUCACCGCAUA